UAAGACGGAGGAUGCAAGCGUUAUCCGGAAUUAUUGGGCGUAAAGCGUCCGCAGGUGGCUGUUCAAGUCUGCUGUCAAAGCGCAGAGCUUAACUCUGUACAGGCGGUGGAAACUGAAGAGCUAGAGUAUGGUAGGGGUAGAGGGAAUUCCCGGUGUAGCGGUGAAAUGCGUAGAUAUCGGGAAGAACACCAGUGGCGAAAGCGCUCUACUGGGCCAUAACUGACACUGAGGGACGAAAGCUAGGGGAGCGAAAGGGAUUAGAUACCCCUGUAGUCCUAGCCGUAAACGAUGGACACUAGGUGUUGGCCGUAUCGACCCGGUCAGUGCCGUAGCUAACGCGUUAAGUGUCCCGCCUGGGGAGUACGCUCGCAAGAGUG
rnacentral:rRNA from 1 species